GCCGAAGUGGCGGAAUUGGUAGACGCGCUAGGUUCAGGGUCUAGUGAGGGCAACCUCGUAGGGGUUCAAAUCCCCUCUUCGGCA
rnacentral:tRNA from 1 species